GUGUGACUGCGUACCUUUUGUAUAAUGGGUCAGCGACUUAUAUUCUGUAGCAAGGUUAACCGAAUAGGGGAGCCGGAGGGAAACCGAGUCUUAAUUGGGCGUUAAGUUGCAGGGUAUAGACCCGAAACCCGGUGAUCUAGCCAUGGGCAGGUUGAAGGUUGGGUAACACUAACUGGAGGACCGAACCGACUAAUGUUGAAAAAUUAGCGGAUGACCUGUGGCUGGGGGUGAAAGGCCAAUCAAACCGGGAGAUAGCUGGUUCUCCCCGAAAGCUAUUUAGGUAGCGCCUCGUGAAUUCAUCUCCGGGGGUAGAGCACUGUUUCGGCUAGGGGGCCAUCCCGGCUUACCAACCCGAUGCAAACUGCGAAUACCGGAGAAUGUUAUCACGGGAGACACACGGCGGGUGCUAACGUCCGUCGUGAAGAGGGAAACAACCCAGACCGCCAGCUAAGGUCCCAAAGUCAUGGUUAAGUGGGAAACGAUGUGGGAAGGCCCAGACAGCCAGGAUGUUGGCUUAGAAGCAGCCAUCAUUUAAAGAAAGCGUAAUAGCUCACUGGUCGAGUCGGCCUGCGCGGAAGAUGUAACGGGGCUAAACCAUG
rnacentral:rRNA from 1 species